rnacentral:rRNA from 1 species
GUGGGGAAUAUUGCACAAUGGGCGAAAGCCUGAUGCAGCAACGCCGCGUGAAGGAUGAAGGUCUUCGGAUCGUAAACUUCUGUCCUUGGGGAAGAAGAUCUGACGGUACCCAUGGAGGAAGCCCCGGCUAACUACGUGCCAGCAGCCGCGGUAAUACGUAGGGGGCGAGCGUUAUCCGGAAUUAUUGGGCGUAAAGAGUGCGUAGGUGGUUCUUUAAGCGAGAGGUUUAAGGCUAUGGCUUAACCAUAGUUCGCCUCCCGAACUGAAGGACUUGAGUGCAGGAGAGGAAAGCGGAAUUCCUAGUGUAGCGGUGAAAUGCGUAGAUAUUAGGAGGAACACCAGUGGCGAAGGCGGCUUUCUGGACUGAAACUGACACUGAGGCACGAAAGCGUGGGGAGCAAACAGG